CUGUUGGGUAGGGGAGCGUUGUGUAAGCGGAAGAAGGUUCAUCGAGAGGUGGGCUGGACGUAUCACAAGUGCGAAUGCUGACAUAAGUAACGAUAAAACGGGUGAAAAACCCGUUCGCCGGAAGACCAAGGGUUCCUGUCCAACGUUAAUCGGGGCAGGGUGAGUCGGCUCCUAAGGCGAGGCUGAAAAGCGUAGUCGAUGGGAAACAGGUUAAUAUUCCUGUACUUGGUAAAGCUGCGAUGUGGGGACGGAGUAGGUUAGGUUAUCGCACUGUUGGAUAUGUGCGUUUAAGUUGGUAGGUGGGAAGUUUAGGCAAAUCCGGACUUCCUUAACACAGAGAGAUGAUGACGAGGCUCUACGGAGCUGAAGUAACUGAUACCACACUUCCAGGAAAAGCCACUAAGCGAAAGGCUUUACUAAACCGUACUGAAAACCGACACAGGUGGUCAGGUAGAGAAUACUCAGGCGCUUGAGAGAACUCGGGUGAAGGAACUAGGCAAAAUAGCACCGUAACUUCGGGAGAAGGUGCGCCGGCGUAGAUUGUAAGGGCUAGCCCCUGAAGGUUGAACCGGUCGAAGAUACCAGCUGGCUGCAACUGUUUAUUAAAAACACAGCACUCUGCAAACACGAAAGUGGACGUAUAGGGUGUGAUGCCUGCCCGGUGCUGGAAGGUUAAUUGAUGGUGUCAUCGAAAGAGAAGCACCUGAUCGAAGCCCCAGUAAACGGCGGCCGUAACUAUAACGGUCCUAAGGUAGCGAAAUUCCUUGUCGGGUAAGUUCCGACCUGCACGAAUGGCAUAAUGAUGGCCAGGCUGUCUCCACCCGAGACUCAGUGAAAUUGAAAUCGCCGUGAAGAUGCGGUGUACCCGCGGCUAGACGGAAAGACCCCGUGAACCUUUACUAUAGCUUGACACUGAACAUUGAAUUUUGAUGUGUAGGAUAGGUGGGAGACUUAGAAGUAGGCACGCCAGUGAUUAUGGAGUCAUCCUUGAAAUACCACCCUUUAACGUUUGAUGUUCUAACGAAGAUUACGGAACGUGGUCUCGGACAGUGUCUGGUGGGUAGUUUGACUGGGGCGGUCUCCUCCCAAAGCGUAACGGAGGAGCACGAAGGUUUGCUAAUCACGGUCGGACAUCGUGAGGUUAGUGCAAUGGUAUAAGCAAGCUUAACUGCGAGACAGACAAGUCGAGCAGGUACGAAAGUAGGUCAUAGUGAUCCGGUGGUUCUGAAUGGAAGGGCCAUCGCUCAACGGAUAAAAGGUACUCCGGGGAUAACAGGCUGAUACCGCCCAAGAGUUCAUAUCGACGGCGGUGUUUGGCACCUCGAUGUCGGCUCAUCACAUCCUGGGGCUGAAGUAGGUCCCAAGGGUAUGGCUGUUCGCCAUUUAAAGUGGUACGCGAGCUGGGUUUAGAACGUCGUGAGACAGUUCGGUCCCUAUCUGCCGUGGGCGUAGGA
rnacentral:rRNA from 1 species